rnacentral:lncRNA from 1 species
CUGGUCAUUGACAAUGGCUCCAGCAUGUGCAAAGCUGGCUUUGCUGGACACAACGUCCCCCAACCCAUGUUCCCCCUCCAUCGUUGGGCACCCCUGACACCAGGGCAUGAUGAUGGGCAUGGGCCAGGACUCCUACAUUGGUGACUAGGCCCAGAGCAAGCAUGAAAGCCUGACCCUGAAGCACCACAUUGAGCAUGACAUCAUCACCAAAUACAAUGAAAUGGAGAAGAUCUAGUUCCACAUCUUCUACAACAAGCUGCGCAUCACCUCUGGGGAGCUCCUGGUUCUGCUGACCAAGGCCUCCCUGAACCACUAGGCCACUCGUGAAAAGAUGACCCAGAUCAUGUUGGAGACUUUCAACAUCCCAGCCAUGCAGGUGGCUAUCCAGGUUGUGCUUAUUGCACGCCUCUGGCAGCACCACUGGCACCAUGAUGAACUCUGGUGAUGGGGUCACCAACAUGGUGCCCCUCUACCAGGGCUGUGCCCUCUUGCAUGCCACCCUGCAUCUGACCUGGCUAGCUGGGACCUGACUACCCUACAAAUACCCUCACAGAGCAAGGCUACAGCUUCACCUCCAUAGCCGAACAAGAAAUCAUGCACAACAUCAAGGAGAAGCUGUGCUAUCUCUCCCUGGACUUCCAGAGAAGAUGGCCACCACAGCCUCCAGCUCCUCCCUGGAGAAGAACUAGGGGCUUCCACACAGCAGGUAAUCACCACUGGCAAUGAACAGUUCCAGUGUCUAGCCCUCCUUCCUGGGCGUGGAAUCUUGUAGCAUCCAUGAGACCACAUUCAACUACAUCAUGAAGUAUAAUGUGAACAUCUGCAAGGACCUGUUUGCCAACACAGUGCUGUCUGGUGACACUAUCAUAUACCUGGGCAUCACUCACAGGAUGCAGAAGGAGGUCACUGCCCUGGCGCCCAGCACCAUGAGGAUCAGGAUCACCACUCCCCUUGAGGGCAAGUACUCGGAAUGGAUUGGUGGCUUUAUCCUGGCCUCGCUGUCCUCCCUCCAGCUGACGCAGAUCAGCAAGCAGUAGUGUGAUGAGCUGGCCCCUCCAUCAUCCACUGCAAAUGCUUC